CUGAUAAGUGCUAAAUAAUGCAUAAAUUAACCUUUUAUUCAUAGCACUUAUCAUUAUUUUAAUUUGCAUAUUUCGUAAAUUUAACCAUAAAAUAUGUGUUACUAUCAUCAUUGCAUUUUAAUAAUUAUCAAAGGUAAUUCGAGUUAAUUAUUUAAUGGUUGAGUCUAAUGGAUGCAGGUCAAGUCGAAUUGAUUUAGGAUGAUCUCUGAACCCAAAUCGCA
rnacentral:lncRNA from 1 species